CCUAACACAUGCAAGUCGAGCGGACAGAAGGGAGCUUGCUCCCGGAAGUUAGCGGCGGACGGGUGAGUAACACGUAGGUAACCUGCCCCUUAGACUGGGAUAACUCCGGGAAACCGGAGCUAAUACGGGAUAAUAAAGAGAAUCGCCUGAUUUUCUUUUGAAAGACGGUUUCGGCUGUCACUAAGGGAUGGACCUGCGGCGCAUUAGCUAGUUGGUAAGGUAACGGCUUACCAAGGCGACGAUGCGUAGCCGACCUGAGAGGGUGAUCGGCCACACUGGGACUGAGACACGGCCCAGACUCCUACGGGAGGCAGCAGUAGGGAAUCUUCCGCAAUGGACGAAAGUCUGACGGAGCAACGCCGCGUGAGUGAGGAAGGCCUUCGGGUCGUAAAGCUCUGUUGUGAGGGAAGAACAAGUGCCGGCGUAACUACCGGCACCUUGACGGUACCUCAC
rnacentral:rRNA from 1 species